CUUUACUACAGCUUGGCACUGAACAUUGAACCUACAUGUGUAGGAUAGGUGGGAGGCUAUGAAGACGUGACGCCAGUUGCGUUGGAGCCGUCCUUGAAAUACCACCCUUGUAUGUUUGAUGUUCUAACUUAGACCCGUUAUCCGGGUUGAGGACAGUGCCUGGUGGGUAGUUUGACUGGGGCGGUCUCCUCCCAAAGAGUAACGGAGGAGCACGAAGGUG
rnacentral:rRNA from 1 species